rnacentral:rRNA from 1 species
GAUCCUGGCUCAGGAUGAACGCUAGCGGCAGGCUUAACACAUGCAAGUCGAGGGGCAGCAUAAUGGAUAGCAAUAUCUAUGGUGGCGACCGGCGCACGGGUGCGUAACGCGUAUGCAACCUACCUUUAACAGGGGGAGUAACACUGAGAAAUUAGGUACUAAUACCCCACUAACAUCAUGAAAGGACAUCUUUUAUUGGUUGAAAAUUACCGAUGGUUAGAGAUGGGCAUGCGUUGUAUUAG